ensembl:piRNA 21ur-14477 ncRNA
UUAUUCUCUCGCCGUGUGCUU